rnacentral:tRNA from 1 species
AGGAAAAUAGUUUAAAAAAAAAACAUUUGAUUUGCAUUCAAAAAAUAUUAAAAAUUAAUUUUUCUUA